GCAGGUCACAGAAGUCUGCAGGCCCCACUGGAGUGGUACCAGUAAGAAACUGGCAGCAUCACCAGUCUGCUGUUGGUUCAUGCCAGCACCACGAAAAAAAAUAUCUGUGGGAUCCUGGACUUCUCAACAUUUGCGUACCAUGCAGGACUGAAUCAAAGUGCAAUGCAGCAUUCAACAGAUGCAGGAGAUGCUCUUAAACUACAACCAAAUGCACAACGUACAAUUAAUGCUCUUGUGCCUCAGUCUGCUGAACCCCCCCCCCAAAAAAAACAUGGUAGACUUCCACUUGCCUGCUUCUGCACACAAUAAAAACUCAAGGCUCAUCUCGAUAAAGAUGGUCAUAUUCUCGUCAGUGCUCUUAAAACUGGUAAGACAAUAUGCUAAAAAACAGAUGAACAACUAUUUCCGUAUGGUUGGGUUUGUGGGGAUUUUUUCUACUUAAAAGAUGGUGUACCUUUAUGGACAAUAUGAACACAUCAAAUAAAUAUGAAAGGAUAACAUCAAAAAGGAGAAUAAAGACAUUUUUAUGAACUGUC